AUUAUUCAUAACGACUCUCGGCAACGGAUAUCUCGGCUCUCGCAUCGAUGAAGAACGUAGCGAACUGCGAUACUUGGUGUGAAUUGCAGAAUCCCGUGAACCAUCGAGUCUUUGAACGCAAGUUGCGCCCGAAGCUUUUGUUGAGGGCACGUUUGCCUGGGUGUC
rnacentral:rRNA from 1 species